UUUCCUCAGUUCCUCACUUCCUCCCUCAACUCUCUGGCUCUCUGCGACUCCGCCUCUCACAAAGUCACAAUUGGUCUUCCUCAGUCCUCACCUCUGCGGCUCUGCCUCUCAACUCUCACAAGUCACAAUCAGUCUCUUGCGUCUCUGUCCCAGCCUCCCAGGUACCCCAAGGUGGUCUUGAUUGGCGACUCCGGCGUCGGCAAGUCCAAUCUCCUCUCCAGCCUUCACGGGCAGAUCUGGUGGUUUGUGGUUGCAUGUGGGUUUGUUGAACAUUAAUAGCUGGCCAUAGCCGUGAUACUGUCAUCAAAGCGACAACACUGGUUGAUAGAGAUGGUGGUGUCUUUGGAUGAAAGACACGUCGGGGGGAGGAUUCAAGGAAGCAUAUCAAGUGUGCAGCUGAGAUUCUUUGCCACCAACUUUUCAAGGUUAGCAGACUUGAGAUUCCUUUUUGGUUUGCAUG